GUCAACCUGUAAAGAAAAGGACGGUGAUCACAGUGGUGUAAAAAUUGCAUCAAACGGGAACCGGAAAGGGCCUCAUCGAAGGUAAAAAUUGAAGGAAGCCGCGGCGGCGCCGCUAGACUUCGGCGGUGUUUUCCGGCCGAUUAGUUGGUGGUUUGGCUCCGAUUUGGCCAUAGGCGGAUUUAAUUUCGAAAAACGAGCCAAUGGGAGAAAAUUUACCUCCUUUGGCGGUCGGAAAACCCUCCGGUGCGGUGGCGGGUGGCGGCGGCCGACUCCUCCGGCGACUGGUUCUUCUUCUCCGGCGAGGGUACUAGCGGCUAGGGUUUGGGGU
rnacentral:lncRNA from 1 species